CCUACGGGUGGCAGCAGUGAGGAAUAUUGGUCAAUGGACGAGAGUCUGAACCAGCCAAGUAGCGUGAAGGAUGACUGCCCUAUGGGUUGUAAACUUCUUUUAUAUGGGAAUAAAAUGUUCCACGUGUGGGAUUUUGUAUGUACCCUAUGAAUAAGGAUCGGCUAACUCCGUGCCAGCAGCCGCGGUAAUACGGAGGAUGCGAGCGUUAUCCGGAUUUAUUGGGUUUAAAGGGAGCGUAGGUGGAUUGUUAAGUCAGUUGUGAAAGUUUGCGGCUCAACCGUAAAAUUGCAGUUGAAACUGGCAGUCUUGAGUAUAGUAGAGGUGGGCGGAAUGCGUGGUGUAGCGGUGAAAUGCUUAGAUAUCACGAAGAACUCCGAUUGCGAAGGCAGUUCACUGGACUGCAACUGACACUGAGGCUCGAAAGUGUGGGUAUCAAACAGGAUUAGAUACCCUUGUAGUC
rnacentral:rRNA from 1 species